GAUGAACGCUGGCGGCGUGCCUAAUACAUGCAAGUCGAGCGAACGGACGAGAAGCCUGCUUCUCUGAUGCUAGCGGCGGACGGGUGAGUAACACGUGGAUAACCUACCUAUAAGACUGGGAUAACUUCGGGAAACCGGAGCUAAUACCGGAUAAUAUUUUGAACCGCAUGGUUCAAAAGUGAAAGACGGUCUUGCUGUCACUUAUAGAUGGAUCCGCGCUGCAUUAGCUAGUUGGUAAGGUAACGGCUUACCAAGGCAACGAUGCAUAGCCGACCUGAGAGGGUGAUCGGCCACACUGGAACUGAGACACGGUCCAGACUCCUACGGGAGGCAGCAGUAGGGAAUCUUCCGCAAUGGGCGAAAGCCUGACGGAGCAACGCCGCGUGAGUGAUGAAGGUCUUCGGAUCGUAAAACUCUGUUAUUAGGGAAGAACAUAUGUGUAAGUAACUGUGCACAUCUUGACGGUACCUAAUCAGAAAGCCACGGCUAACUACGUG
rnacentral:rRNA from 1 species